rnacentral:rRNA from 1 species
AGUGAACGCUGGCGGUAGGCCUAACACAUGCAAGUCGAACGGCAGCACAGAAGAGCUUGCUCUCUGGGUGGCGAGUGGCGGAUGGGUGAGGAAUACAUCGGAAUCUACCUUUUCGUGGGGGAUAACGUAGGGAAACUUACGCUAAUACCGCAUACGACCUUCGGGUGAAAGCAGGGGACCUUCGGGCCUGGCGCGGAUAGAUGAGCCGAUGUCGGAUUAGCUAGUUGGCGGGGUAAAGGCCCACCAAGGCGACGAUCCGUAGCUGGUCUGAGAGGAUGAUCAGCCACACUGGAACUGAGACACGGUCCAGACUCCUACGGGAGGCAGCAGUGGGGAAUAUUGGACAAUGGGCGCAAGCCUGAUCCAGCCAUACCGCGUGGGUGAAGAAGGCCUUCGGGUUGUAAAGCCCUUUUGUUGGGAAAGAAAAGCAACCAGUUAAUACCUGGUUGUUCUGACGGUACCCAAAGAAUAAGCACCGGCUAACUUCGUGCCAGCCGCCGCAGUAA